GGAUGACAGAGCACGUAAGGCAGAGUGCAGACUACAGACAUCGUAGGGGUUGAAGAAGGAGAAUCCUCCCACAUUGUCAUUGUUGACAGACAUCAACGGGCCUGAACAAAGAAGAGGAUAAAUAGGUCAAUCCAUCAUCAAACCAGCUCAGUUGUAGGGAGGAGACUAUAAAACAGCCCUGAAUGGCCAUAGCGGGAGCUACCAGAUAAGGAGUCCUAGAGGAUCGCAGCACCUGCCGAGCCCAGAUGUGGUCAGGAUCCAUUCUGUCAUAGCCCAGGGAGCAGCCAUCACAAAAACUCUUCGAUGCUUGUAGACUGAGAGCAGACCUUCAGAAGCACAUGGGGGGCCCAUCCACGGUGGGGCGCCUGAAGGAAGGAAAGAUGUCUGGCCCAACCUCCUGGGCAUGGCACAUCAGUCGUCUGGCAGUCAGUGGGAAGGAGAACCUGGCAGCCAGAGAGCUGCACGUAGGCACCAAGUUACAGUGCCCUCAGAUGAAAAGGAUAAAGAAUGGCUUAAACUCUAGAAUGUCAACACAUGAAACUUGAAAAAAUAUUGCUUCUCAAACCACCAUGGCACAUGUACACCUUUGUAACGAACCUGCACGUUCUGCACAUGUAUCCCAGAAGUAUUAAAAAAAGAAAAAAUAUUGCUUCUGAUCCAACGAAAGGAUACAGGCCUUUACAAGGUAAGUCACAGGAUAUUGUUGGAACAUCCAGCAUGAAGGUAGGAAAAGUUAAAAGUAUGAAUAAACUCAAGGAAGGUUUAGGUAAUUUUAGAGAGACCGUAUCUAUACUACUCAGAGGUUUUUAAGUGAAGUAAGGAUGUUUAAGAGACCUUGAACACCAGAGUUUCAAAAUAAUAGCCCUGAGAGCUCCAUGGGCUGUGUGCAGAGGCUCAAUCCUGGGCUGCUGGCCCUGGCAGACCAAAUGUGGCCUUCUUUUGUGCUCCUUUUCUUAUGUUUUAUUUCACGGCAUGGCUUAGCACCCUAAGCCAGGCACUCUGGGGACAUGCAAUAGAAAUAAAUAUAAAAUGCGAAUUCCAUUCGUACCAACUUUCAGUAUGCAACUGUCAAUCAAUUCCAUACCCCACUUACAAUCAGUUCCUACAGAGAUGAACUCAUACAGAGCAGGUGGUUUCUAACUGAAGAAUUCGACUUUUCUAAGUCAAAGAAGGGUCAGAGUUGCCAAAUGAAUGCCGUACUCCAGAAGGAAGUGAGCACAGCCUUCUCUUACAGGGAGUAGGGUGGCCUGAUGCUGAAAGACAGGGAGCCUAUGGAAGUUUCUUUGGGGUAGGGCAGGGACGCGACUAAGUCUGAGUCUGCAACAAUGAAAAUAUUCUAAAUCUUACUAAACACUGAAAUAAAAUCAGUUCCUAAUAUUUACUUUUGGUUGUUGCAAUUCCUAAAAGUCUUUAGCCAUCGUGGAAGAAUUAAAACAACAUAUUAAAUGGAGUUAAUAAAGAUGACCUUUUUUCCCUUCCAAUAAUUUGUGUUAGUGCUAUCAUUACAAUACAUUUUUAAAUGGAAG